UACGUAGGGGGCAAGCGUUGUCCGGAAUUAUUGGGCGUAAAGAGCGCGUAGGCGGUCCGAUAAGUCGGCUGUGAAAGUCCAGGGCUCAACCCUGGGAUGCCGGUGGAUACUGUCGGGCUCGAGUCCGGAAGAGGAGUGUGGAAUUCCUGGUGUAGCGGUGAAAUGCGCAGAUAUCAGGAGGAACACCAAUGGCGAAGGCAGCACUCUGGGACGUGACUGACGCUGAGGUGCGAAAGCGUGGGGAGCAAACAGG
rnacentral:rRNA from 1 species